AACGAACGCUGGCGGCAUGCCUAACACAUGCAAGUCGAACGUGAUCCGGGGCUUGCUCCGGUGAAAGUGGCGGACGGGUGAGUAACGCGUGGGAACCUGCCCAGUGGUCGGGGAUAACUGCGGGAAACUGCAGCUAAUACCCGGUAAGCCCUAUGGGGGAAAGAUUUAUCGCCAUUGGAGGGGCCCGCGUCGGAUUAGGUAGUUGGUGGGGUAAAGGCCUACCAAGCCUUCGAUCCGUAGCUGGUCUGAGAGGAUGAUCAGCCACACUGGGACUGAGAUACGGCCCAGACUCCUACGGGAGGCAGCAGUGGGGAAUAUUGGACAAUGGGCGCAAGCCUGAUCCAGCAAUGCCGCGUGAGUGAAGAAGGCCUUAGGGUUGUAAAGCUCUUUCGGCGGGGACGAUGAUGACGGUACCCGCAGAAGAAGCCCCGGCUAACUCCGUGCCAGCAGCCGCGGUAAU
rnacentral:rRNA from 1 species